GCUACAAAUGAGUGGAGUUCAACCACUCAUCAAACUAUUCUAACUUUCUUUUUGAUGAGUAAAAUACUGAAUAGUGAAUAUAACAUUGAAACUAGCUUAAAUGCUGAAAUUGUUAGGGGUCUCUUGUUUGUAGUUGUGUUAGAGUGAGUUGUGUCGGUGUAAAUCUAUUAUUGUAUUUGAUACUUGGAUAGGAGAUAAAUUAUUCAUGUAUAAAUUAAUUUAAUUUUUUUUUUGGAAUUUACAAAAUCUGUAUAACUAAUAUAUGUAUAAGAUAUGAAAAAAAUAUAUGUAUUAAUUUGUGCAAUAUAGAAGGUGAAAUAACUAAAUAUAUGAUUCCUAUUGAUACUUGUACAACUUUUACCAACUAAGGGAUCGUUUAAAUGUAUUUAGAGAAUCUAAUACAUGUAUUAGUCAAUGCAUUAUUCAAUGCUUUGUUUGGUAGGAUUUUCAACUUAUAUAACACUUUUUUCAGUGGGUGUAUAAUUAAUGAAUAUCAAUCAUGGUAUUAGGGCAUCCACAAUCCAUAUCAUCAAAUUGUACACUAAAUGGUGUCAACACUUUUUGCUUUUCAUGUCAAAUUUUAUGUGAUACUACUUAUAUACUCAAAUGGAGUUGUCUUGGAGAUAGUCUUAUCAAUACAAGACUUAUUACAUGGAAAAAUACAACUAAAAACAAAACAAUUGUUAAUAUACCAAAUCAAAUAAUAAAUAAGAAACAAUCUUGAUAUUAUUAAUACACUUUAUCUAUUCACUGUUAUUUUAUUAUUGUUAUAUACUCUAUCAAAUGACCAUGUGUUUAAUUGUAGUGUUAGACGCUGAAAGAGGACGAAUAGGUGUAUGUAAACAAAACCCAUUAGUAUAUGAGGUGUGUUAGCUGAAAUGAAGUUAAAAGAAGGUGUUUGAUCAUGAUUUUUUUUUUAGUGGAAACUUUCCGUGAUUUUCAGUAAGAAAAUAAUUUAUUUUUUUGGAUUUUUAAAUGAAACACAGCCAAACAGCUACCAAGUGUACACCUUGAUUAAUUGAGGCUAAUACUAGUCUCUUUAUUUAGAAAUGAGAGUGUGGGUGCACCAAAACUGCACUCUAGAGUUGUACAAGAAGUUUUAUUAGUUGUACUACACAAUUUGAGCCAUAUUCACUAGAAAAUAAACACACGUAUUACACAUGUCUACCUCCUCUAAUUUUCAAUAAUUUUGCUUUGAUUCUUUCUUUUACUUUUUUUAUUUUUAAUUCUCCCUAUUCUCACUCUUAUCGGAGAAGGAGAAGACCAGACUUGGAAAUGAAGGUAUUAAAUUUUUGGAGGGGAAGAGCAAUUGGUGGAAAAUUAGAGGAAAGUAUGAUGUUAAAUAAAGUGAGACUUGCUCUGUUGAUAUGAGGGUGCCAUCAAAAUGCUUUAUGUUCAGUACUACUGCUCGGCCAAAGGCUGUAUUUAUUAUGUGGUUACAGAUGCAAGCUAAAUUGCUCACAAAAGAUAGGUUGCUGAAAUGGGAAGCCAAGGUGGAGCCACAAUGUCUGGUAUGUCAAAAUGAAGAUGAAACACGAGAUUACUUGUUUGUAGGCCUUGCUACCUAGAUGCAAAUGUCCUAUGAAAUAGGUGGUGACUGACAACAACACCUUCCUUGGGUUCUGAAGAAUGCAAAGGGGAAAAUUAUAAGGGCUCAGAGUUUCAGAAUGAUUUAUGUUGAAGCUGUCUAUGCACUAUGAAUUGAGAGGAAUCAAAGAGUGUUUGAGCAGAGGACGAAA